GCGCCUGUGGCCUAAUGGAUAAGGCACUAGCCUCCGGAGCUGGGGAUGCAGGUUCAAUUCCUGCCAGGCGCG
rnacentral:tRNA from 1 species